AGCAGACAUACCAGCUUCCAUCCACGGCUGCUAAUGGACCAAAGAGGCUCCCCUGAGAGUGCGCUCUGUUCUGAGGUCUGCAGUAGGAACUCCUGGUCUCCUGGGCAGCCCAUCACCAAGUUGUAACAGAGCUGUGGAGCCAGCAGAGUGUACAGUAAAGCAACAUUGGCCUGACUAGAGGAGGUUUUACAAAAGGAAAUGGCUUGAGCAAAGGCCAGGAGCCAUCAACACUCAGCAGAAUAUCAAGUCCACAGACGCCUGAGGUGCAUGGUAUUAGGAUUGAAGGGGACACGGUCUGCAUCCCAAAUUAAGGGAACCUGACUGUAUACGGAUCUACCUGGGUGUUCUGAACUUGGCUUUGGCCUCCAUCCAAGUGCUGACAUUUCCUUAGCAGAGAACUCGGGUUCGCUCCCCCACCCUGCUUAGCCUCUGCUUGCU